rnacentral:rRNA from 1 species
UACGUAGGGUGCAGGCGUUACUCGGCAUUACUGGGCGUCAAGCGUGCGCAGGCGGUCUUUUAAGUCAGAUGUGAAAUCCCCGGGCUUAACCUGGGAACUGCGUUUGAAACUGGAAGGCUUGAGUGUGGCAGAGGGGGGUGGAAUUCCACGUGUAGCAGUGAAAUGCGUAGAUAUGUGGAGGAACACCGAUGGCGAAGGCAGCCCCCUGGGCUAACACUGACGCUCAUGCACGAAAGCGUGGGGAGCAAACAGG